UGUAUACUCCCUCCGUUCGGAAUUACUUGUCUCGGAAAUGGAUGUAUCUAGAACUAAAAUACGUCUAGAUACAUCCAUUUCUGCGACAAGUAAUUCCGAACGGAGGGAGUAAAUA
rfam:Triticum aestivum genome assembly, contig: Triticum_aestivum_CS42_TGACv1_scaffold_307712_4AS